GUGGCUACAACAGAAGAUACAAAGAAGAGGCAACGUAUACAUACCAUUUCUUGGAUUUUAACCGUGGGGGAGGGUUUCUGGGUAUCAGAAAGAGUGCCCUCAUGGGAUGCAUGUCACAAAGUGGGGGAGCUCCUUCUGCCAUUUCUAUGGCUGUAAUGCCGCAGGACCAGAGGUCACUUCUGUAAUCAUACGUAGCAUCUGGAUUUUCAUCACAGGCAAUAACUUCUGGAGCCAUCCAGUAUGGAGUUCCAAUGAAAGUGUUUCUCCUGCCAACUGUCCUGUCCAGCUGAGCGCUCACACCAAAAU
rnacentral:lncRNA from 1 species